GAAGCUGCUAGCAAGUUAGGUGCAGUAAGGCUCUGAACCCUUCCAGCAAAGAAGGCUGCACUCUGUCCCCAGAAGGGGAGAAAACCAGCACAAGGGACUGACUAAGAGAAGGAUCAGCCAGACCCUGUGCUACCUGGAAGGAUUUGCUUUGCCCAAGCUGGUGUCUCCAAGGCUAAAAAGGACAGCCUGCUGAGGAGAAGCAGCACCAAGAGGUUCUAUCUGUGAUCGAUAAGAAGCUCUUCCAGGGCUGCCACAGAAUGGAACAACAAAGAGGAGCCGGCCUUUGAUUGUACUAUUUGAGCUGCUGUUUAUGCCUGCUAUAACUAAGGGGAAGAGGUCAAGAGAUGGCUGAGCAUGCAUGAAAGGAAAAAGGGAGUGAGAACAGAGCAAACGUCUUGACUGACUCAAUUUCUGGUAAGAGGAAAAAGCUGUUGUCACUGCUUUGAUGGAGACAGCACUCGUCCAUGCAGCUGCAGACAGGUGAAAGGCAGUCCCAGGUUUUCUGUUAGGACUCUGGGAAAGAGCAAUGUUUCCCCCGAGACUCCCAGAGACUCACUGCAUCUGGCAGAGGAAACUAUCCCAAGAGGGGUAGGGACCAAUGAUCUUGCUGGGAGCAGGAUGUGAGGCCAAAUGGACCAGAGAAAACAAAGAACGAGUAAAAGAGUUUCAGGAGCUGUUACAAAAAAGCUGUGAUAGAGAGCAGGCAAGACCUGCCUCUUUCUCAGUGACUUUUUGCUGAUUGCAUGGAGAAGUCUCAUGGACCUGCUGGUAACAUGUCUCUCAGUGUCCUACUCACCUGUUCCACUUCGCUCCAUCUGAUGAAUGGAGCUGAUGACGUUUAUUAGUCUAUAUGUCUUUAUGUGAAAUUAGUUGGUAUCAAUUCAUUUCCUAAUGGACUAGUAUCAAGAUCUCAGCUGCUAAUAAAAGGUUCAGGAAUAAGUUGAUCAGGGAGACUGAACUCUUCUUCCUUCUGCAGAAGUGGUCCAUGCAGAUCAAGGUUGAAGAACAAUAAGAAGACAUUAUGGAAGGAAGACUUUCAUGUUGGUACCCACAUGGGUACAUGUUCUCUUGAUAAACAGCAUACUUCAGUCUCCAAAGCUGUCAAGCUAUUUACUUUCACCACCACUAUCUCCACGUAUAUAAAAUAUAUCAUGUCUUUUGUUCAGUCUUGUGUAAUCAAGACAGUGUCUGCAGAACAAUGUGUACUGCUUACAGAAAAACUGCCCUCUGAAACAGAGAUAAUGUGAAAGGCACAAUGGGGGAGUGAUCCUUUAAGCUUGCAUAUCUGAAAGACAACACCCAAGUGCCAAGGUAACUUGUUGCUAGCCUGAUGAUGAUGACCAGAUCCACUGAGACCAAGUUCCUGCCUUCUUACCUGGUUUCUGCUCUUUGUUCCUGAUUCCUUGACCUAAUUCUGGUGACUGACUCCAGCUUGACCCUUGGUGUGACUUCCGACUCUGAUUCUGGCUUAAUCCUUGGUGUGGCUACCAGCUCCGACCCUGGUACUGACCUUGUUGUGGGACCUGACUCUGGAUUGACCCUCGGUGGAGCUUUGGAUUCUAAAUCUGGCUUUGACCUUUGGCAUGACUUCCAGUUGCUCAGAGCGUCAUGUUAUGGGCCCUGAGAGUCUGUGAGAUACAGCAGUGGAACACUGUGCUAAAAAGGAAUCUAAAAGAUCAGUUUUUUUAAAUUACAUCAUAACUGUGUCAAUUUUGCCAGACUGUCUAAGCUAUCCAAGUAAUGGCUAUCCAAGCCUCUUUUAAUUGCCUGAAUCUUAUGGCUGGGUCUGCACACAAGCUUGCACUAAUUUAAUGAAAUUUUGUUUCCUAAAACUGUUGUUUCAGUGAAAGUCUCUCUCUGGAUGCUCUUAUUUCAGUAUAUGGUGAGGUGUGCUACUACUUAUGAGACAGCCUGGUGCUCAGGGC